ensembl:lncRNA
CGCCGCCCCCGCACGGCGCGGCCGGGAGGACGGGGCGGGACGAGCGCGAGGGGUCCGCGGGGAACGCCGGGGGUUCCCGAAGCCCGAGCGGGCCGCGCCUCAAGGAUGGCCUGAAGGAGGGCCUGCCCGCCGCUCUGCGUGCUGCUGCGCUGCUGCCGGCCGGCCCGCGAACGCUGCUCCCUCGCUGCUUUACUUCAGGCACCGAGGCGCGGCGGAUCCCGGGGCGGAUGGGACCUGCAAGGCAGUGGUUUGCUUGUAUCCAUACCUUGGAGAAAGGUAAAUUUGAAAGGUGGACUCUUAUAGUUCCUUAUUCGGUGGGUAAGAAUUUUUCACUCAGAGGGUGAUGACGCACAGGAACAGGUUGCCCAAGGAGGCUGUGGAUGCCCCAUCCCUGCAGGCAUUCAAGGCCAGGCUGGAUGUGGCUCUGGGCAGCCUGGGCUGCUGGUUGGCGACCCUCACAUAGCAGGGGGUUGAAACUCAAUGAGCAUUGUGGUCCUUUUCAACCCAGGCCAUUCUGUGACUCUAUGAUAUGAAUACGUGGGAUGGUCGCAGCUGGAGGGCUGUGCUCAGUGGCUCCAUGACCAGGCGGAGGUUGGUGAUGAGCGGUGUGCCCCAGGGGUCCAUCUCAGGAUUGGCACUCUUCAACAUCUUCAUCAACAACACAGAUGAUGGCAUUGAGUGCACCCUCAUCAGUUUGCUGAUGGCACUGAGCCGAGUGCUGCAGUGGAUCCAACAGGAGGAAGGGACGCCAUCCAGAGGGACCUGGGCGGGCUCACAGAGGGGGACCACGUGAACCCAAUGAGGUUCAACAAAGCCAAACACAGGGUGCUGCACUUGGGUUGGAGCAAUCCUGGGCAUGAGUACAGAUGUGAGAAGAACUCCUGGAAAGCAGCACUGCGGAGAAGGACUUGUUGGUUCUGACAGCACGUCUGGCAGCACUACGCCAUGACCCAGCUGUGGGCAUCCCUGUCUCCACUUCUUGAGGUGCCUCGCAUCUCUUUAACUUUUUUGUGCAAAAAAAACUGCUCAGAAGGCCCACUGCUAAUUAAUUCUUCUUAAUUCUCUUUCAACUAUCAUAUCCCACAGCACCAUUUAUAUCAUUUUAUUUAUGACUCUGUUAGAUUAGAGGACCUGGACUUCCCAUCUUCAUGCUUUCUUUUCACACAUGUAAGUAAGGUGUUAGAUUUAUUCCCCUGGAGCUUCUGUAGGAUUCCUUGACUACUGAUGCUAAUUGCUCAGUGACUUUCUUAACUAUAAAACACUUGGGUACACACUAUUAAUUCCUGCAGAUAAAAAAUAAAAAGAAGUUGAUUGUAUUAGCUUGUGCUUGGUAUUUUCUCUGAUUGCUGAUGUAUUCAUAAGCACUGGUGAGGCCAUGCCUGGACUGCUCCCUGGUGCAAGCCCAGCAAAGGCCAUUGGGGAUGAUGGAGGAACUGGAGCCUGACUGCUGUGAGGAGGGGCUGUGCCUUCAGCCGGGAACAGAGGAGGCUCGAGGGGAUCUCAUCCAUGUCCAUAAAUGCCCGCAGGGAGAUGCAGGGAAGACAGAGCCAGGCUCCUGACAGCUGUACCAGCACCAGGACCAGAGGCGCUGAGCAUGAGCUGAAGUGCAGAAGAUGACAGUCCAAGAGGAAGGAAAGGACAAGGGAAGUUGUACAGAGAAAACACUUUCAACAUCACAACCAGAACUGGAGAAAUGACUUCCAGAGAACCAGUAUUCUCCACCACAAGAGCUGCAGACUCCGGUGCAGUACAGACAUGCUCCAAAGCCUGGGCAAGCAAAGUCCCUUGCACAAUCCUCCAUGCUGACAGC